rnacentral:rRNA from 1 species
CCUACGGGAGGCAGCAGUGGGGAAUAUUGGACAAUGGGGGGAACCCUGAUCCAGCCAUGCCGCGUGUGUGAAGAAGGCCCUCGGGUUGUAAAGCACUUUCAGUGAGGAAGAACGCCUGGUGGUUAAUACCCAUCAGGAAAGACAUCACUCACAGAAGAAGCACCGGCUAACUCCGUGCCAGCAGCCGCGGUAAUACGGAGGGUGCGAGCGUUAAUCGGAAUUACUGGGCGUAAAGCGCGCGUAGGUGGCUUGAUAAGCCGGUUGUGAAAGCCCCGGGCUCAACCUGGGAACGGCAUCCGGAACUGUCAAGCUAGAGUGCAGGAGAGGAAGGUAGAAUUCCCGGUGUAGCGGUGAAAUGCGUAGAGAUCGGGAGGAAUACCAGUGGCGAAGGCGGCCUUCUGGACUGACACUGACACUGAGGUGCGAAAGCGUGGGUAGCAAACAGGAUUAGAUACCUUGGUAGUC